GAAGGCCUCUGUCUGAAGGUCUCUGUCUGAAGGUCUCUGUCUGAAGGUCUCUGUCUGAAGGCCUCUGUCUGAAGGUCUUUGUCUGAAGGCCUCUGUCUGAAGGUCUCUGUCUGAAGGCCUCUGUACUGAUGAAAGAAAGGUGAGGCAGUAAGGCAGCCAUCUACUGUACUGUAGGGCUGAUGGAAGGAUCCCCAUCCCAACUGUCACUCUCUCUUCGUAAUUACAGCUGUUCAAUGGCUUUUAAUUAGUCUCAAAUUGUGUGCAACACCACUUUCCCUGUAACGCUGCAGGCCAGAGACUCAGAUCCACCGCUCUGACAAAACCAGACGGGAAUGAGAAGCUAAGUGUGGAAAUGGAAUGGUUGGCAGUAGUCGAAGCCAAGCACAAAAGCCCUUUUUUAUUUUUUGAUCACUUUAUUCGAUCCAGCCACCAUAAGGCCUUUAUAACGAUGUUGUAAACAUGUAAUUAUACUUCAUAGUAUGAGUCAUUUUCAAAUGCUAUAAAGCUUUAAAACAUGGUUACAACAUUGUUUUGGAGGGUUGUGCUAGAGGUCAUGGUCGAUAGGAAAAAUUGUGUUACCAAUGUUUUUAUCUACAGUAUGUCGAUGUCCACAA
ensembl:lncRNA